rnacentral:lncRNA from 1 species
GCCAGCAAAAUUUAUUAAACAAUUGAAAAGCGUAUCAAAAUUGGAGAGCGGCAAAACUCCCGGUCUCAAUUCACACACCUCACAUUUCAGUCUCCACACACUCAGCUCACUCACCUCUUUUACACUCACCUCUCUUCUCAAACUCCCCUCACUCACCUCUCCGGCACUUUUGACGACAACUGAAUCGGGGUCUCUCUCAAUGGAUUUCACCUUUAUUAGGGCUUUUUUGUUUCGGAUCUUCAGUUGUGGGCUUCGAUUUAAAGCUUCUUAAUUCAUUCACUGAAAUUAGGGCUUGAGAUUUAUAGUUUCUUACAAUUUAUUUAAGAGAUUCGAAUUAUGAGUUUCACUUUAACGUUGUUAAUUUAGUGUCUCUGUUUGUUUCAAGGCUUCAAUCAGAUUGGGCUCCAAUCCAAUCAGGACUUCCAUCAAAUUAGGGCUUUUCACUUUAAUGGGGGCUUCAAAUUGCUUGGAUUGUGAUUUAAGAUACACUCCUCUCUCAUAUAUUUGCUUGUAAGUAUGUAUCUUUGUUCUCUAAAAUCUAUGUUUGAUUUUAAAUAUAUGUGAUUCUGUGUAUAUGAGUUUUGGUUUGUUCUAUGUUGUCUUUGUCUAUCUCUCUCAUUCUCUUCCCCUCCCUCUCCUACUCUGUCUCCCCCUCUCUCUUACACACACAUUUAAUUUACUAUUUUACUUGCUAAUAUACACACACACACUCUACUACUCUGUUUCUCUUGUACAGAUUCUAUUAUGUGUAUUAUGUAUAUUUGUUAUUUUUAUUAUAUUGAUACUAAAAUAAUCUCAAGUGCUUGACAAGCUUGAUCGAUAAUAUGAGCUCUGCCAGACCUCAGUUUCCUACCAAAGAGUACAUGAAAACACAGGUAGAUAUCCAAACUUUUGCACCUAAUUAUAUAUCGUGAGUGAUUUACUGACUUUUUGUUUCUAUAGAUCAAACUAUCUGACCCUAUACACUAAUACACCAGUUAUCACUGGAGAAAUCGGUGCGCGAAAAUCUUCAAACCCGUGCUUCCCUUCACGGGGAGUCAUUUAAUUUCUCCAUUGGUAAAAUGCAUCCUGCAACUUUUGCUCAUCAUAUUUACUAUCUUUCAGGAAAGACUUUAUGUUAUUCUAAAAUAGGGAGAACAGUCAAACAACUGUUAUUGGUUGUCCUGGCGAACCAAUCUAGACAGGUGAGGUUUCUUGUCAUAUAGCCUUCAUCCACUGUUAACUUGAUAAGGUUUUAGUUGUCAAGUUUGAGUUAUAAUAUUACAUCUAAGAAAACCUUACUCAAGCAGGACUUUUCUAUGCUGAUUAUAAACCCUGAAAAACAAAAGAUGUAAUAUACAAGCUAAUGACUCCCCUGGCUUUGUAGAUUUGAGUAUAGGAACCUCGUAGGUUAACUUCUAUUUUGUACAUGUGAAGAAAAUGGUUUUUUAAAUCAGCGUGAUGUGUAGUUUAGUGACCUUAGAAUAGUUUAAUAUAUUUAGGUCUCAUAUAUUAAUUCAGUUGGCUUGGCAUCUGUCAGAAACAUUAAGAUGGGUUUGGCUAAGAAUUUGGUUAUUAGAAUGAAUGAGCAUAUAUUUAUAUACUAGAACUCCGUAUUCUGUCUGAAAUCAAAGUGCUUCCAGUUGGCCAUAUUACUCCCCCUACAAUAAUAAAACUGUAGCCUGUCAAUAUUAUUGAAUCUUUAUAUAUGUGAACUAAUGAACUAAAAAAUAGAGAUUAGUGGUAAAGAAUAGAGAUUAGUGGUAAUGGGAUAUGCUUUCUUCUGGCACUUAAGCAUCAUUGUAGAAAAUACUUAUCAUUCAUAAAAGGGUCAAAGUGUGAUUAUAUGAUAUAAACUUUAUUCAGUUCUGUGUAGAUAGCUUUCUCACAAAUUUUGGUGUAGGGGUAUAUAUACUAUAUUCUAUAUACUCUGAAGUUUAUAUGUUUAACUUUAUCGAACUGAGCUUAACUUUAUAUGUUUGUACUAGGCUACAACACCAAAUUUGGAACAGAAGCUUGAAAAAUUAGCUCCUGCAGAUGCUGUUGCUGGUUUGAUUGCUCCCUAUUUUGUGGAAAGGUUAGAGUCUACUUUUAAAUAUAAUAAAAUCAUUUACAGGGAUAUACACAAUCUUUAGGAAAGUGUAAUAAUUUUCCAGUUUGAAGCUUUCGGCCUGCGGUUUGAUAGAGAGCUGUUUGCUUUCAAAUUACUCCUUUUAAAAUGACACAUGGAGUGAUGUUUUAAUUGUACUAGAAGUGUAUCAAGGUAGCUUCUUGUGUUGUGUCUUGGUGUCCUUUUUGUAAUUGAUGAAUAGCUAAGAGGACACCAUUGUGAUUAAAUACCAAUAAAAAUGGACUAAUCUGUCUACCACUAUACAGGUUUGUAGGAUUACAUCAGUUGAAUUUAAUGGAAUAAAAGAUUUCCCCAAAAUAUGAAAUUUGUCAGAACUUAAAAUGAUGGAAGAGGAAUAGUAGUUUCAUGUGAGACAUGCAAAUCAAGUCAUAGAUCUAUUUAACUAGCUACAACUAUUACAAUUAUAUUAUAGUAUAGUGAUUUGGUUUGAUUUGAACCUCUGCAGUUAGUUAAUAGAAGUGUUUCAGCCUAUAUACCAAUAUUAAUGAUGGACAAAGUUUUUACCCUGUUUAGUUAAUUUCAUUAUCUACUGCAAAUUUAUUGUGUUAUCUGUUUACUGUCCAACUAAAUCCACAUAAUUUGAGUUGUUCAAAAUAAGCAUGGCUUAUUUACCGGAACUCAGCUUAGUAGUUGCAUUGUAUUGUUUCAGGGAAAGCCUAAGCCGUUAAUGGAUCAACCUAACAGAGUCAAAGACUUGACUGUUCCAGAAUUUGGAACUCUCCAAGCUUGGGAAGUGCGAGCAAAAUGCAAGAAUAUGUUUAUUUAUAUAAUAGUGUAGUGUACUGUGAUGUUUGGUUGGAUUUGUUUAAUACUUUGAUUUGGUUGGAUUUGUUAGGUAGUUUGGUUUGGUUGGAUUUGUUAUAAACUUUGAUUUGUAUGAAAGAAUAGUUUAAUGUUGCAGUUGAUAUAGUAAAAUAUUGCAAAAUUGUUAUUUGAUGUUGCAGUAACACAUAUAUAUGUUGCAGUAAACAAUUGACAAACAGGUGUCCAAACAUGAGACUAUAAAAGGGACCCACACGUGGGACCCGACGCGGGUCCCACUUUUUUUUAAAAUCAGGAGGUCUAACGUAACAUAAAAUUGUAGUUGCAAUAGGGUAGUUAGAUGUUGCAGUAGCGUUGCUAUUGUAACAGAAAACCUCAUGUUGCAAUAGAUGACCAUAAUGUUGCAGUAGAGGCCUAGGGCAACAUGAAAAAAAGCAACUUAAAUUUUAUGUUGCAGUAGCCUUUUUUCAGGCUAUUGCAACAUAAAUUGAGGUUAUGGCAUCAUUUUUUUGAUGUUGUUGUAGGCUAUAUAUGGGGUAGUGGACUCACCAGAUUUUGAGUCAAAGUGCUCAUAUUCCCGUGUAAGGAUGGUUUUUCUGUUCUUCUUGAUGGCUUGAGUUCCUUGACAUCUGGUUUCCAGAGCAUCCCAGAUUUGUUUAGCAGUUUUGCAUCCAAUCACCCUAUUAGACAUUGCAUUAUCAAGGGCACUGUGCAGAAGGUGUUUCACCUUUGAGUCUUUACCAAUUGACAAGAUGUCCUCAGGGGUAUAGUCUUUCUUGUCUUUUGGGACCAUCUUCUGAGGUUCAUCUGCAAUCCCAACAGAGAGCUUGGUGGGCAUGUGUGGUCCAUCAUAGAUCCUGUCAAGGUAUUCUGGAUCGACAGAGUCUAGAAAUAUAAUCAUUCUCUCUUUCCAGACUGGAUAUUCAGAUGCCUUAAGGAUUGGAACUCUAAAAGACGAAGCUUGUGAUUUUUCAGACAUGAUUGUGAUUAAGAUCUCACUGUAGUUAUCUUAACAGAGCUGGCUCUGAUACCACUUGUUAGGUCCUAUAAACUCACUAUAUAAGUUGAUAUAGUGAACACAAUCAGUAACACAGUAUGACAAUAUAAGAGAUUGAAAGUAGUAAACUCUUAUUCACAAAGCUUGAAUGGUUACAAAAACUCUCUCAGUGAUUUAUAUAUUAUCACUAAGAGCUGCUAGGGUUCUUCUAAGAAUGUACUCGAUAACUCAACUCCUAUAGAGUAACCCUAAUCUGUGUUUAUAUAGACACAGUUACAAAAUCAAUCUCUGAUUUGAUAUCCUAUAAAUCAGCUAUGUAUUCUAUCAAUCAAAGAUUGCUACUGUUUUCUGUUUAGUUUCCAUAGUCUGCAAAUCACUCCUCCGCUUCUAUCCUUCCUUGAAGUAUAUCCGCUUCUGAGCUCUUUCCACGUGUAAACUCUGACGAGUCUUGACUAUGUAAACUCUGAUCAGACUUUAUCAAACUCUGGUCAGACUUUAUUAAACUCUGAUCAGCUUCCAGCUUAAACUCUGAUCACUCCUGUUCUAAAACAAACUUUAAGAACAUUAGUAAUCAUCAAUUAUAUCUAACAAACUCCCCCAACUUGUGCAUAAAUAUGUUAUGUGCAAGUUAACAGAUAAUUGAUGAUGUCAAAACAAAUAAGUCAAAUGCAACAGAGUUUAGCUAUAUAACAGAAAACUUUUAAAACUUACAGAUACUUUACUCCUUAGCUUCAUAGACACCAUUAGCUGUCUUAAAGUAUUCUCUGAGGAGUUCUCUUUCAGCUUCUGCAAGUGCUGUGAUCUUCAUGGAGCCUUUAACCCGUGCUAAAACUUUGUCUUCCAGUACUCACAAGCACAAGCCUUACUAGUUUUGUAAAUUUAGCUUCGUAUUCUUCCACAGUCCGUUACCUUGCUUAAGCUCCAAAGAAUUUAUCCCCAUUUGAUCUUGAAUAUAAUGAGGAAAAUAUUUCUAGAGCAAUUCUUUAUAUCUACCUCAUGAAACUUCGGUCGUACCUUCCAUUGCAUACACCGACUCCCACCAAGUAUAUGCUUCAUCUUUUGGAAAAUAACUCGCAAAUUCUGUCUUUUGAUUAUCCCUCCUUCAGUAGGGCAAAGGACAUCUCCAUUUCAUUUGGCUAUAUCUUGGGAUCUACCGGAUCUGUGACCCCUUAAAAAGGAGGACUCACGGCUUGGAAUGCCUUAAAAGUUACCAUAUCUAUAUAUGUCUUCUGUCCUUGUUGCUUUACUCGUUCUUCCUCUUGUUGGUUAUGUUGCUGUUGAAACUGCUGCGGCUAAGCAAACAUAGUAGUUGUUAGCAUCUGAGUAAUUAAUGGUUGGAUCAACUGGUCCAUGGGGAUUAGAUGUAGUCUCAAUAGACUCUAACAUGGUGGUCUCUUUGGAUGACAUAUUCUCAUAAGAAACAAACAAUUAUUUAAACAUGGUUGAGAAGAAAACAAUAUUAUAAUAAUUAAUUCUAAAUUAUUAAUUUAUAAAAUUAAUCUAUAUAACAUGAAAACAGUAAAUUUGGGAAAAAAUAUUAAUUUUUAUAUCAUCUCUUUAGAAUAAUUUAUUCUUAUAAAAGUAGUAAAUCUGAAACUAAUUAAUUGUGAACAAAAUAAUAAUACUAAAAUUGAAUAAUCUUUUCAAAUAUAAAAUUUAUUAAAUAAUUAUAUUUUUAAAUAAUUUAAAAACUGGAAAUCCAAAACUAGUAAAACUAGACUCAGAAGUCUCUGCAGGAUUUGAUGCAAGUUAGUUUAGCAAAACUACACUAAGCAAAACUACACUCUGUGUCCAAUAAAUUAUUAAUUAAUCAUUUGUCUUUAUAUUUGUAAUUACAAAAUGUGUAUAGUCACUUAUUGGAGAGAUACUGCCUAAAAUUUGACAUAACCAUACAGUAAUGGAUUUUGUAGUUCUACACUUGGUUGUUAAUUGGCAAUCAUUGUAAAUAUUAAAAGCUGGACUUGAGAAGAUAAUAUCAGUUAUGUAGUUGGUUAUAAACCCUCUUCAUUUGCAGAUAGAGGAGAUCACCUCAUAAAACAACAAUGGCUUUAUGACUUCCAUCUAGUUACAUCACUUGUUAGGUGUAGAUACAGUUUAAAAUGCAGGGUUCUUCUAUCUAGUUACAUCACUUGUUAGGUGUAGAUACAGUUUAAAAUGCAGGGUUCUCUCCUUCCUACUUUCUCUAGUUAUUGGCUUCUUUUAAAAAAAAAUUAUUAUAUAUUCCACAAUUAUGUAAAAGUAUUCAAACAAGAUCUCUGAUAAAAGUGCAAUUUUGGGAUUACCGGUCCAAAGGCUGGUAAAUUGACUGAGUUGCAGGGCAAUUUUGGUGAAAACGUGAAGUUGAUGAGCAGAAGAGUCAUCGAUGAUCCUGGCCUACCACAUGGCAACCUGCUAAGUGGUUCGAGCUCUUUUUUCCUACCAAUUCCACCUAAAAUGGUGUUUAAUUUCUUCAGCAGUAACAGAUCACGAACGGAGGUAUGUAUAUUUGUACUAUGAUUGUUUCAGAGUUUUUUGUUUGUCAUUAGAGGUGCACGAGUCUCAAAUCUCAAUGUCGAAGAUUAUUUACAAAAUUAUAAGACAUUCAGUCUGAAUCCAUAUAUUUGAUGAUCAACAGUGGGACUUGUUUGCAAAGGGGAAUGCAUAUGAUCCCAUACACGACACUCCUCUUCACCGAGAACCUAGAAGUGGUGUAACCGUAUUUAAAAUUUUGGUAAGUACAAGUAUAGAAGAAUCUUUGUUAUUUGUUAUUAUCAAACUAUGACUAAAUUUUGAAAAAUUGCACAAUCGGCAGAAGCUACUAGUGCAGGAAAGUUGGAGUGAUCCAGUAGCAUCACAUAUGGUGUUUGGCCUUGUCGAAAAUGAGGCAAUGAAUUGGAUAAUAGCCAGGGGAGACCUAGGUUAUAUACCUGUUAUUCGUUGAGGUUUCACAGUAUUUACGUUGGACGUGUAUCGGGCUCCGGUGAAACUCUUGGCAUACUUAAUAAAGACAAAUGCCAAACAAUAAAGUUGGCAUUGGGUGCAGUUGGCACACCAACAUCUUAAGGGUGCAGUAUUAAGAGGGUGUAUUCAAGUAGGAUUUCAUAGAUUAUUUUUAAUCUAUGAAUUUUAAGAAAUUGUAUCUGAUUUGAGUUUGUAUGGUUUUUUGAUAAAAUAUGGCAGAUUCUUUAGGAUUUAAGUACAACGAUUUCAAAAAUCUUAAAAUAUAUUGUAUAAUUUCACCAACAGAUUUUGAUGGAUUUAAAACAAUCUCAACUAAAUAUCAUAAAUUUUUAAGGAAAAUUUAAAAUCCUUAAUGAAUACCGGUAGAUUUUGUAGCAUAAUAUAGAAUCCCAAUUAAAUACGUCCAAUAUUCUUUUACAUUUAGUGGCAAAAAAAAUAAAUUACUCUCGUACAUUUAAAAUCUUAAUUGAAUAUGCGGUCUAAAAUUAAUUAAAAAAAUUCUAUUUUGGAGAAAAGUUGUCAAUAUAUAAAGUGGUCCAUAAUAGGACCUCGUCAAAAUUUAUGAUCCGACUCAAAUGAAAUAAACUGAAUAUCUAUUAAGCAAAAAAUAACAAAUCACUUAAUCUAAAAUUGAAAACUGGUGGAAAAAUGUUUCAAUAGAAAAAACAACUUUCUUUCAUCUUAAUACACCCCCUUAAUCUUUUAUUCUUUUUCCUAAACAUUAUCUUUAAAAUUAUUUCAAAAAUGCUUCCCAAAUCUUUAAUUUCCUUCUAUAAAUCAUACUUUUAGAAUUAAAUAGGGUUAUUCAAUUGAGAUUAAGAAAAAAUCAUUCAUAAUCUUGGUAUAUUUAACUCGAAUUUUUAAAAUUGCAUCUAAAUCUUGGGGGUAGUCAAUUGGGAUCUUAUUAUAUCCAAUAAAAUCUAGUUAUAUUCUAUUAUAAUUUUAAUUAUACUUAAAAACAUGAAUUUUAUGAGAUUGUUCGGGCUAUUUUAUAGUGUUUGAAAUUCCAUUAUAAUUUUUGAUAUUUUGAGUAUUCAAAACUCCGCAUAAAAUCAAAAUUAGAUAUAAUCCAUUAAAAUCUAUGGAUUAUUACCAAUCCAUUAAAAUCCGAGUUAAAUAAUCUUAAUCCUUUCCUUUUUCUAAAUAUUAUCAAAAAUUUAUUUGAAAGAAUUUUCGUAAAUCUAUGAUUACCUUUUGAAAUCUUACUUCUAAAUUAAUUAUAAUCCUUUAUACCAUUCUAUAUCUCUAUACCACAAAUAUUAAUCUUUUAAAAUAAAUCUUCAUGUUUUGCACCAAAAAGUAGAAAUUCAGAAGUCCAACUCUUUUUGUCUAGAGGGGCUUUCCAAACUUGGGAUAUGAAUUCAAACGUAGGCAUUUUAUUAUGUAGAGAUGAAGCCAAGUGCUUAGCUUGUGAAACUAACAUCCCCACUUUUCCGAAUAUUAAAAUUAAAUUCAAAACUCAAAAACAAUAUAAUUUAUUAAUCUAAAAUUCUAUUAUAGAUGGUAUUAUAACCAUUUUGUAAGGUAUUUCUGACCAUUGUAAAUAUGUUGUAGUUACAUUAUUUAUUACUUGAAAAUAUUUCAUUUUCUCUUUGUUAUUUCAAAAAAAAUUAUGAUUAUAUAAUUAUAUAGAGUCCUACUCUAAUAGAAACCAAAUUAGCCUAAAAACUAAAAACCAGUUUCUGGACAGUUUUUUAUCACUAUUUUUAACUACAAAAUCACUAAUUUGUAGAUAAUAUAUCUCUAAUUUAUAUAUAGCAUAUCUCACGAAUAUAAAUAUAUAUAUACACAUAUAUGCAACGUAUAUGACCAUCAUCUUAAUCUUUUAAAAUAAAUCUUCAUGUUUUGCACCAAAAAGUAGAAAUUCAGAAGUCCAACUCUUUUUGUCUAGAGGGGCUUUCCAAACUUCGGAUAUGAAUUCAAACGUAGGCAUUUUAUUAUGUAGAGAUGAAGCCAAGUGCUUAGCUUGUGAAACUAACAUCCCCACUUUUCCGAAUAUUAAAAUUAAAUUCAAAACUCAAAAACAAUAUAAUUUAUUAAUCUAAAAUUCUAUUAUAGAGGGUAUUAUAACCAUUUUGUAAGGUAUUUCUGACCAUUCUAAAUAUGUUGUAGUUACAUUAUUUAUUACUUGAAAAUAUUUCAUUAUUUUCUCUUUGUUAUUUUAAAAAAAAUUAUGAUUAUAUAAUAAGAGUCCUACUCUAAUAGAAACCAAAUUAGCCUAAAAACUAAAAACCAGUUUCUGGAUAGUUUUUUAUCACUAUUUUUAACUACAGAAAUCACUAAUUUGUACAUAAUAUAUCUCUAAUUUAUAUAUAGCAUAUCUCACGAAUAUAAAUAUAUAUAGCAACGUAUAUGACCAUCAUCCUCACCCAAAUCGUAGUAAUGGACCUCUUACCAGACGUUUCUAUGACUUGCCACCAUUGUCUAUGAUCACCAAUAGUCACAUACACUUUCUAUCAUAACUUACAAAACUAACGACUACUUACCAUCAUCAUACACCGCUUCCUACCACCAAGAACCUUACUACGGUUGAAAUUGAUCAUUUUUACAUACUGUAUAAAGACAGUGAUUAGUGCAGUAUAAAUUAGUGAUCUAAAUAUGUUGUAGUUACAUUAUUUAUUACUUGAAAAUAUUUCAUUAUUUUCUCUUUGUUAUUUUAAAAAAAAUUAUGAUUAUAUAAUAAGAGUCCUACUCUAAUAGAAACCAAAUUAGCCUAAAAACUAAAAACCAGUUUCUGGAUAGUUUUUUAUCACUAUUUUUAACUACAGAAAUCACUAAUUUGUACAUAAUAUAUCUCUAAUUUAUAUAUAGCAUAUCUCACGAAUAUAAAUAUAUAUAGCAACGUAUAUGACCAUCAUCCUCACCCAAAUCGUAGUAAUGGACCUCUUACCAGACGUUUCUAUGACUUGCCACCAUUGUCUAUGAUCACCAAUAGUCACAUACACUUUCUAUCAUAACUUACAAAACUAACGACUACUUACCAUCAUCAUACACCGCUUCCUACCACCAAGAACCUUACUACGGUUGAAAUUGAUCAUUUUUACAUACUGUAUAAAGACAGUGAUUAGUGCAGUAUAAAUUAGUGAUACUCGUACUUAUAAAUAGUGGUAGGGAAACUGGUUUCUAGUUUUUAUUUUAAGAGGAUUUUCUCUUUGUUAUUUUAAAAAAAAUUAUGAUUAUAUAAUAAGAGUCCUACUCUAAUAGAAACCAAAUUAGCCUAAAAACUAAAAACCAGUUUCUGGAUAGUUUUUUAUCACUAUUUUUAACUACAGAAAUCACUAAUUUGUACAUAAUAUAUCUCUAAUUUAUAUAUAGCAUAUCUCACGAAUAUAAAUAUAUAUAGCAACGUAUAUGACCAUCAUCCUCACCCAAAUCGUAGUAAUGGACCUCUUACCAGACGUUUCUAUGACUUGCCACCAUUGUCUAUGAUCACCAAUAGUCACAUACACUUUCUAUCAUAACUUACAAAACUAACGACUACUUACCAUCAUCAUACACCGCUUCCUACCACCAAGAACCUUACUACGGUUGAAAUUGAUCAUUUUUACAUACUGUAUAAAGACAGUGAUUAGUGCAGUAUAAAUUAGUGAUACUCGUACUUAUAAAUAGUGGUAGGGAAACUGGUUUCUAGUUUUUAUUUUAAGAGUGGUUUCUCAUGAUCCUAAUUAUAUAGAGAGAAUAAUUCUAAUAUAAGUUAUAGUUGAAUUUAAUUAGUAAUAGACUUUUUUUAUGUAAUGAACAUUAUGUAUUAUUAAUUAUUGAUUAACUUGUUAUCAUAUUUUAUAAGAACUUAAUUUUCAAAUUAAAUUUUCCAUAAAUCGAAUAUAUUAAAAUUUAAAUGAUAAAAUUUCUACAAUAUAAUUUAUUUGUAUCUUCAAAAAUAGUAACAUAUUAUUACUAACCACUACGAACUUUAACCUAUAAGGUUAUUUUAUUUUUUUUUAAAAAUUAUUAAUAAUAAACAUAUAGUUUAUUUUCUAUUAAUCAAAAUUAAUUUAUGAGUGUUUGGAUAGUUUGACACUUAUAUAAAAUAGAUGGUUUAUAAAGCAGAAAAUUUGCCAAUAGUUUGCAUUGACACUUAAUUAAUCUAAUUGGACAUUAUUUGGGUUUUUAUUAUAAAAUAAUAUAACUAAGUACAAACUUUUUUGUGACUAGGCCCAGCCCACCUUGGGAGGUACUUAUAAUUACCUAGGACCGGAAAACCCUAGUAGCAGCCCGCCUCUCCACAUCCCUUCUCAUCAUCUUAUGGGUUCCAUCUGACCUUAAUCCUUCUCCAGAUCUCUUCACAGAGGCCCCUCAUCUCUUCUCCUCUCAUGGGUUACAUCUCACUGUGCUGCUCCUUGUUAUACAGGUAUACCUAUAUACUCUUUACAAUUUUAAAUGUACCACAUGAACACAUAUAAUAUAUAUGGUCCUCAUGCUUGGUAAAUAUGCCUGUUAGUUGUUCUUCAUUUUAGUAGCUAGAUAUAUCACCUUUGGUGUAUCUCUUACUUAAUAAUUGUAUAUUUACCCUAUACAUAUGUGAUGAUUUUGUUGUGAUCUAGAUCUACUCCUGAUAUAUUCAUAUAAGAACUUGAUUUUUCUGAAUUUUAGUUUUAAUAUAUUAUAUUUAUAAAUUUAUGAAUUUAUUAUAAAUAUGUGUUUGAUUCUUAUUAAUAUGAAAAAAAAUCGGUAAAAGAAUAUGAAUAAUGCUUCUUUGCAUCAUUAUACAAUAUCCAAAACUGCAAUAGUGGUAUAAACUUCUUAUUUUUAUGUCCACUAUGCAAGCAAAAUAGAUAGCAUAAGUAAAUAAGGAGUCUAUGAAUGUGUUAUAUAGGUUAUUUAUUAAUUUUUCACUUAUUUUUAUUGUGUUUAAACUUUGUACCAUUACAUUUGAAUAUUACACCUUAAACAUUUUAAUAUACACGUGGCUCAUUGCUUGUUUGCAGCAACUAUCCUCAUAUUGGUGAUGAUAAACAAUGAAGAAAAUGCUCCAAUUUUCUCUAAAUUUAUAUUCUCCAGGUAGUAUAACAUAAACUUUUAGUUAUAACAUUAUAACAUAAAUAUAUUUUUUCAUUCCUUAAUAGUAUACAUACUUUGUUGUGUAGAUUUAUGAAGAUAUUAUAUAUAGGUACAUGGUAUACCAUUUGUCUAGAUAUGGUGAUGUGGUUAAAAUUUCAUACUUUGUUUGGGUCACCUUUGUUUAAUGAGACCCCCUCCAAAUCCGGGUCAAAGAUUUGCUCGUCACCAACCUUAUAUCACAAUAACAAUAUGAUAAAUCGUAUUAAUAGAUAAUGACCCUUGGUACCUUCCUAACGUAGCCUCGCCUUCAAUGGCCUGUGGCUUUCUCUUUUUCCCAUCUCUCUCUUUCUCCACUUCUAUGAUCAUCACUUUUUGAACUAAUGCAACAUGGUUAUCUAACUCUAAAAUAGCUCGCUUUCCCUUAAUCCAUGCCUUUAACCCAUGUUAAAACCUCUUUGCCUUUUUGUCUUUGAGUACUCACAUACGCUGGCACAAGCCUUGCUAUUUCUAUAAAUUUAGCUUCGUAUUCUUCCACAAUCCCGUUACCUGGCUUGAGCUCCAAAAAAUUUAUCCCCAUUUGAUCUUGCAUAUAAUGAGGAAAAUUUUUCUCCAGCAAUUCCUUAUAUCUAUCCCAUGAAACUUCCGUCGUACCUACCAUUGCAUACACCGAAUCCCACCAAUAAUAUGCUUCAUGUUUUAGAAAAUAACCGGCAAAUUCUGUCUUUAGCCAUAUCUCGGCAUCUUCCGUAUGUGGUGACCCCUUAAAAUCAGGAGAAUUCACGGCUUGGAAUGCCUUAAAAGUUAUCAUAUGUAUAUAUGUCUUAUGUCGUUGCUACUUUCCUCAUUCUUACUUUUGCUGGUUCUGUUGCUCUUGAAACUGCUGCUGCUAAGCUAACAUAGAAGUUUGUUGAACUAACAUUUGUAGCAUCUGAGUAAUUGCUGGAUCAACUGGUCCAGGUGGAUUAGAUGGAGUCUUAUUAGACUCUAAAGUUUGAGCAUAGACAUGGUGGUCUUUUUGGAAGACAUAUUCUCAUAAGUAACAAACAAUUAUUUAGACAUUGUUGAGAAGAAAACAACUUUAUCAAUGUUAACAUAUUAGUUUUACAAAACAAAUGAAAACUUUUCAUCAGAUCAAAUUAUUCUGUACAAGAUAUGACAAAAUGAAUUGAUUUCAACAUGUAGAAUGUAAGAGUAAAAUAGGUGCGAAUAAUAUAACAGUUAUGCUAAUAAGACAAUUAAAUGGAAGUAAAACAAUUAUAAUUGCACAAGAAAGAUUUUAUAUAUAUAUAUAUAUAUAUAUAUAUAUAUNNNNNNNNNNNNNNNNNNNNNNNNNNNNNNNNNNNNNNNNNNNNNNNNNNNNNNNNNNNNNNNNNNNNNNNNNNNNNNNNNNNNNNNCUAACCCACCUAACAAACUUAAAUACUCAUUUGACUAAGUCAUAACCCCUACAGAUCAUGAAGCUGACUAUUAUUCAAAUAUAAUAAACAUGCUACGAUUAAAUUCCAACAUGCUCCCCCUAAUCUAAGCAUGUUUCUGCAGAUUCUGAAUUCCAAGCAAAGCUCUCAUCUGCUCGAACUUCACUGUCGCCAUAGCUUUCGUAAGAACAUCUGCACGCUGCUCAUUCGAACUCACAUACUUGACUUCAAUUUCCCCACGUCCAACGCACUCACGAAUAAAGUGGUAUCGAAUGUCGAUAUGCUUACUUCUACCGUGAAAAACCGGAUUCUUUGCGAGGUCGAUAGCUGAUUUAUUAUCCACAUAGAUGAUCACUGGACCGUGUGUCACCCCUGUUAUCUGAAUCAACAAAUUUCUUAACCAAACCGCUUGACAGGCAGCAGCAGUAGCUGCCAUGAACUCAGCUUCGCAGGAAGAAAGAGCCACGCAUCGCUGCUUUUGAGAAACCCAAGUAAUCAGAUUAUCAUUCAAAUAAAACGCCAUUGCUCCAGUGCUCCUCCUAUCCUCGGUGUUCCCAGCAAGAUCGCUAUCCGAGUACCCCUCCAACAAAUGAUUACCUGUUCCUUUUGAAUAAAUCAAGCCAUAGUUUGUAGUCCCUUUAAUGUAACGCAAAAUACGCUUCACUGCUGCUUGAUGAAGAACCGUGGGUCGCUCCAUAUACCUACUUACAAUUCCAACUGCAUACGCUAUAUCCGGGCGUGUAUGAACCAAGUAACGUAACCCACCCACGAUACUCUUGAAUUGAGUGGCAUCUACGGCUUUUCCCUUUUCGUCCUUGUCCAGCUGAAUUGAAGUUUCCAUUGGGUAUUUUGCUGACCUGCACUCUGCCAUCCCAGCUCGAACUAACAACUUCUUCGCAUACGACUCCUGUUUGAGUUCAAUGUAUCCCAACUGUUGACUGACCUCCAUUCCUAAAUAAUGAGAUAGUUUGCCAAGAUCCGUCAUGUCAAAUUCCUCCCCCAUUUGCCUUUUAAAUUUUUGAAUAUUGGAGAUAUUUGUACCCGUAACCAGAAGGUCAUCGACAUACACACCUAUAAUCAGUACCUCUGGCCCUUCCUUUUUCGUGUAUACUGCCUGCUCAUAAGGGCAUUUGCUAAAACCAAGGCUUNUAUAUAGAAUAUAUGACAGUCUAAUAUGCAAAGCAACCAAGUAAUGCAAACACAAUUACUAAAUCAAGUACUUGCAUAAAUAAACUAGACAUCUGACCAGGAUAAACCACCUGGAUACAGAUAAGCAUCCAAAACAACUUAAACAAAUUGUCUGAUCAACAACAUUUUGGCUUGCUGAUGAAGUUUGACCUCUGGAUUCAUCCAAUGUGAGCUUUGACAUCUUAUCCAAAGUUUCUUCAAGAGAUGGAGUGGAUUCAGUAGCUUUAUUGCCUUCUGAAGUUGUGGCAGUUGACUUGUCAGCUUGCUGAUUUCCAGUUUCCUGCACUGUCAGCUUGCUGCUAGUACCUGUACCUGCACAUUCUUCCUCAUCCCUUGCAAGAUCAUCAGUAGACUCUUGAAAUGAAACAUCAAUAGACUCUUCAACAGUAUGUUUAGCAAGAUUAUACACUCUAUAAGCACGACUUGUUAAAGAAUAACCCAAAAAUAUAGCUUCAUAAGAUUUAGAGUCGAAUUUACCAUCCCUAUCAAUGGUUUUGAGUACGAAGCACUUAGAUCCAAAAACCUUGAAGUAGCUGAUGUUAGGCUUCUUUUUCCUUAGCAAUUCAUAAGGAGUCUUGUUGAGAAUUGGCCUGAUAAGCACUCUGUUAAGAACAUAGCUUGCUGUGUUGACAGCUUCUGCCCAAAAGCUUCUUGGCAGCUUGCUCUCCUGCAGCAAUGUCCUAGCUGUUUCUUGUAAGGACCUGUUCUUACGCUCUACAACUCCAUUUUGCUGAGGUGUACGAGGUGCUGAGAACUCAUGUGAGAUUCCUCUUUCUUCACAAUAAGUAAUGAAGUCUUUUUGGAAUUCCCCACCAUGAUCACUUCGAAUACCUACAAGUCUUGUAUCUAGUUUGUUCUCAAGCAACUUGAUUAGUUUCUCAAAUUCACUAAAAGCACAAUCUUUAGUACGCAAGAAUAAUACCCAAGUGAAUCUAGAAUAAUCAUCAACAAUAACAAAGGCAUAUUGUUUACCUCCAAUACUCUUAUAAGCUUCGGGACCAAAAAGAUCCAAGUGAAGAAGCUCUAAAGGUUUAGAAGUAGAUACCAUUUUCUUUGCCUUAUGUGGAGUCCUUGUUUGCUUUCCCAAUUGACAAGCAGAACAUGUCUCCAUCUUGACAUACUUAAGCUUUGGUAGUCCUCGAACAAGCUUCUUUGCUGACAGCUUGCUGAGAUGAUCCAUAUGAGCAUGUCCAAGCCUUCUAUGCCAAAUUUCUGGAUUAUUAUCCACAGCUGCUAAACAAACACCUGCCUCCUGUUCUUCAAAGUUCAAAACAUAUAUAUUUCCUUCUCGUUUUGCAACUAGAGGAGUUUUGUUAGCACCAACAAGUAUAGUACAUUCAUCCUUACCAAAGUUAACAAUAUGACCAUCAUCAAAUAACUGACUUAUACUAAGCAAGUUAUAAGUAAGACCUUUAACAUAUUGUACCUUGUUAAUAGAAAUGAUACUAUUACCUAUAGUUCCUUUGCCAAGAAUAGGAAGAGUUUUGCUAUCACCAAUUGUGACACGUCCACCCUUCUUCAUCUUCAAGCUUAGAAACUGAGAUUUGUCUCCACUCAUGUGCCUAGUGCAUCCACUAUCCAAUAUCCAUUGAUUUGGCUUUACUUUAGACACGAGACAAACCUACAAAACAAACACAAACAACUCAACGUUUUGGUACCCAAAUUUUGUUGGGUCCAGCAGUGUUAGUUGAUAAAACAUAUAGAACAUUAAGAUCAGAUUUCUUGAUCCACAUUUGGACCACUUUAGAACUCUUCUUCCAUGUUCUGCUGGUCUUAUCAGCAUACUGUCUCGGAGCUGUCUUCUGUCUGUUUCUGUUGUCAGCAUACUGUCUGUGAGCUGACUUCCUUUUCCAGCUUGCUGAUUGAGUAUUCUUCAUUGGACAAUUAUUAGCAAGAUGGCCCUUCUUUCCACACUUGUGACAAGUCACCCAAGGCAUGGCAUAAUUGUAUGGAAUGCCAUUUUUCCCUUCAUAUUUCAUCGAAGAUGUGGAUGUAGAAGCUGCACCAAUGCCUCCUUUGUCAUGAGAACCUUUAGCUUGUUUCAUCAUAGAUUUGAGACUUUCUUCUCCUUGAACAAACUUUCCCAUGGCUUUUUGAAGAUCUUUGACUUCUUGCUCCAAUGAUUUGAUCUUUUCAGCUCGAAUAGAGAUUUCGGCUAAGCUUUGGGUUUUGCUUAACUCGAAUGCCUCCAAGCUUGCAUCCUUAGCUUUAAGAUCUGCUCUCAGCGAGCUGAGUUCCUUCAUGAGUGUAUCAUUCCUUCUUUGGAUUUGCAUGUUGUUCCCUUCAAGUUGUGAGAUCUGUUCCUUGAGGGUAGCAAUGAUUCCACUACUAGCUUUGGCACUCUUUUCAUUCAAGAAAUCACCUAUGACUUUCUUCAAAUGAACGUUUUCUUUCUCGAGCUCAUAAUUCUCAUUCUUAAGAUCAAUGAGUUCCAUUAUUGAUGAACAACUCUUAUCCUGCAUGGUUAGUUCACAAGUAGUUGUAUAAAUUGUAUGUAAUUCAGAAUUAAUAGAAUUUACCUCACUAUUAGUGUCUGUGUCCGCAUCAGUUGUAUCAAUUGAGCCAUCGAGACCAACAAGAGCCAAGUUCACCAUCUCAUCACUAGAAUCAUCAGAAGCUGACUCAUCUUCAUCAUCACUCCAAGUUAGAAGUGCCUUGGAUUUCUUUUUAUUCUUGUAAUCAGCUUGCUGUCUAGGCGGCUUUGACUUGUUUUUCAGCUUGUAGCAAUCCCUUUUGAAAUGCCCUUUCUUGCCACAUUCAAAACAUGCAUCAUCCUUUGGAUCUUUCUUUGCACCAAAAGCUUUGCCCUUUUCUCGCUUCAUUUUGUUUUUCUUUUCAAUCAUUCUCUUGAUUUUCCUGGACAUAAGAGCUAGAUCCUCAUCUGAUUCUGUUUCCUCAUCUGUUUCCAGCUUGCUGACAGAGGAGUGCAGUGCAAGAUUCUUCAUUUUCUCUAUUGGCAGCUUGCUGCUUUCUGAGCUGUUAGCUUCAAUCUUUGCUUCAAAUUGUUCUAACUCAGCAAAUAUAGCCAGGUGAUCCAUAGUAUCAAUGUUGAGAGCUGACUCCAAUGCUGUGACCUUGGCACCAUAUUCGAAUGGAAUCCCAAGCUCCUUUGGUUGUCGUCUUCUCUGCAAUAGUAAGCAACAUGUCAUCUGGAAUGCACUGAUAUAUCGCAGCUAAGGCUAGUUUAUCCUUCUUCUCUUCUAUCACAGCCUCAGGGUCCUUCGGUUCAACUGCCUCCCAAAUACCAUGUGCUUGCAUAAAGACUUUCACCUUCAGUGACCACACAGUAUAGUUACUUUUUGUCAACAUCGGGUAGUUCAAUCCCACUGCACUCUCCUUCCUCUUGUCCGUCUCCGUAGCCAUUACUCUGGGUAUGUACUUUGGCAUAUACCUUGUUCAGGCUCUGAUACCAAGUGAUGAAACCAGAAUAGAUAUACAAAAUAAUGCAAGGGAAAAGCAAAUUGUAUUUCUGAACUUCGUGACUUACAGAAUGAAAAACUACUGCUAUUUCUAGACGUUGAACAUGCAACUUAAACUCCUGGGAAAUAGCCACUCUACCACUUGACCGACUAACCCACCUAACAAACUUAAAUACUCAUUUGACUAAGUCAUAACCCCUACAGAUCAUGAAGCUGACUAUUAUUCAAAUAUAAUAAACAUGCUACGAUUAAAUUCCAACAGUUUACCCCGUAAAUUCAUGGAGCCUUUAACCCGUGCUAAAACUUUGUCUUCCAGUACUCACAAGCACAAGCCUUACUAGUUCUGUAAAUUUAGCUUCGUAUUCUUCCACAGUCCGUUACCUUGCUUAAGUGCCAAAAAAUUUAUCCCCAUUUGAUCUUGAAUAUAAUGAGGAAAAUAUUUCUAGAGCAAUUCUUUAUAUCUAUCUCAUGAAACUUCGGUCGUACCUUCCAUUGCAUACACCGACUCCCACCAAUUAUAUGCUUCAUGUUUUAGAAAAUAACUCGCAAAUUCUUGAAAUUACACACCUAGAGGGGGGGUGAAUAGGUGUUAUGGCUAAUAUGACCGAUUUUUAAUGUUACCGAAUAGUUAUACUGUCACAGACAGCUUGCUGUUAAUUAUCAGAGUAAACAGUCAGCUAGCUAACAAUGCAGAUGCAAUGCAAAACAGAUAUAAUCAGUAAGCUAGCAACACAGAGAAUUUUAGCCAGGUUCGACCCCUAACCCUAAUGGUCUACGUCCUGGUCCCCUACCAACUGGUAAGAGAUUAUAUUAUUAAUCAAUAAUGUUAACGAUUACAAUGAUUCAAUAAUAUAACUCCCUUUAUCCCUUGUUCCUGUUAUCAGCUUGCUGAAACCCCUGAACCACGAACCAAAAGCUCUCCAAGACCUAUACUUCCCAAGUAUACUCUUCUAGCUAACUAGUCCCCAUUGUUCCCUGUUUCACAAGCUCGAUACACAGCAACAAACCUUUACACUUUGAACAAUACAAUGUAUGAGUGUAAUACAACCGAAACUAUGAACUCAAUAUAGAUAUAUAAUCGAAUAUAAGUACUAGAGCUCAAGUAAGGAUUUUGCAAUGUAAGUGUGUUGUAUUUCAGAAGCUUGAAGUGUGUGUUUGUGUUGUUGAAAACGGAAACCACACUUAAGUAUAUAUACACAAAGAUCCAACGGUCAAUUUGCUAACAAAUUCAAACGUUCUUGUUCCAACCGAACUCACGCAUAAUUUGUUCCCAAUUUGAACGUUUAAUCUUGUGAAGUUUACUGAGUAAAAAGCGUAGAAACGUUGUAAAUAUCUCAGUAAAACGUUUAUGUAUAAAACCAUAAUUUGAAAUCAAAUAGGAGUAGUUUUAGAUAAGAUCGACUAAGAGAUAAAAACUCCUAUAAGUUAGGAAAUCGUUUUUGUUUGAAAUACUGAUUUAAAACUGAGCUCUAAUAUUUAUAUAAGUCAUAUAUAAAUAUUAAAGUCCUUACAAAUCGUUUCCUAAUAAAUCUCCUUGCUUUUCGACUUUGAUCCUUAUCCAUUUGUUAUUCUGUUCACGCUGUGAGCUUGCUGAUAAGCCUGAAUAAUAACCUGUAAGCUUGCUGACAGUAGAACAUAACACUCAAACUUAUCAAGCUGUUAGCACAUGCAUAUAAGUCUUUGAUAGCUCGCUAACAAGCACUAGUGUUAUGCUAUUAGCUUGCUGGCAGUGUGAUCAUCAAAACACUGAGAGUAUCAUGUUUGUCAUAAAAAUCAUCAAAACAUUCAUCACCAACCUCCUCAACAUCAUCAUCACCAACCUCCUCAACAUCAUCAUCACCAACCUCCUCCACAAUCUCAAUUCUAGGUUUAUUAGGUGUAAUGGGCUUACUAGGGGAUGUUAAUUUUUAAAAUAUGGAAGAUGCCAUGAGAUUAAUAGAAAUCUACCCUUAAUAAAGAAGUCCAAUAAAGCUCCAAGCUCCAAACUCCGAGCUCAACCAAUAAGCUUCAAAUUUCAAGCUUUAACCUCCAAUAAAGAUCCAAGCUUCAAACUCGAAUAAAGGUCCAAGCUUUGUGUAUUUUGUGUGUAUUGGGUUUGUAUACUCUAAAAAUGGUGCAUGGGAAGAAGAGGUCGUGUUUUUGAGACUGUGGGUGAAUUCAACCAAAUCCAACAACUUAACAAACUUAGUCUGAAGCAAAAGCAAAUAGGGCCAAUAAAGUACUUAAGCAGCAGAUAAACACUUAAGCACAGUAUUAUUUUACUAGAUUAUUCCUAAAUUGUCUCCCCCUUAAUCAUUAAAAAGGUUCGAAACUUAGGUCUCCUCAUCAUCCUUGUCAGACGUCUCCUUUGCAAACUUCUUCUUGAGCUCCGCAGCAAUACGAUUUUGCUCCAUCAUCAAAUUUCCAGCAGCAGCGAACUCAGAAUUAGUGCCUGCAGCCUUCUUAAGAGCAUCCAACGCGGUUCGUGGCUUAGGACUAGUAUCAUCACCAUCCAUGCCAUCCAUAGCAAGCUCUUUGUCCUCAGUACCUGGACUGUCACCUUCGUUGUCACCGGUGCCUGUGCUAACCCUCAAUUCAGAAGAAGUACCUGGAGCACACUGACGACGAUAGAACUCAAAAACAUCCAUAAUCCCAAAAGAAGACUUGCCAGACCCUGUAGUAUUCUUGGAAGGAGUAGUAUCCUGCUUGAACCCAAAAACCAGCUCUUUCCACAUCUUAACAUCAUGAGCCAAAUCCUUAAGCUGCUCAGACAAUUUCCUUUGAUCGUCAACCAACUGACGAUGAUUAGCUCGAAGUUCAUCCAUGAAAUCUAAAACCAGCUUCUCUGACAAACUUACUCCCCCUAUAACAGUGGAAGUAGGCUGAACCGGUGGUGGAGAAGGUGGAGCAACUUCGACAACAGUUAAAGAACCAUCUUUCUCCAAUUUCAAGUUAGACUGAUUGAGACAUUUAACAUCCAGAAAUUCUUUAGCAGAAACACGCUCAACCCCCUCAAAAUCCACUCCAAACCACUCAAAAAUCCUAGUUAAAAGUAGCCCAUAAGGUAAUCCAGCAGUAGAUUUACCCUCAAUUGCAGCAACCAUAGUAUUCAAAAUUAAAUCCCCCAUAUCAAAACUUUUCCCAGCCAUAAUCAUUGACACCACAAUCACAUCCUGAGCAGAGAGAUUAGACCUGGUACCUAACCUAGGACUAAUAUUUUCAAUAGACACACGAAACAGAGCAUGUGCAAGAGGUAAAAUCUGGGUAGUGGAAGGAAAAGUCUCAGUAGGUCCAUCAGCUCCAAACAGAACAUGGAACUGAUCCUUAACAUCAAAAUUUUCAAGUUGAACAAACCCACGCUUAGUAAAUAUAGACACUGGUGAAGGUGGAGAUUGAAUUAUAGCAUUCAAAAACAUGGGUGAAAGGGUGAUUUUGGUAUCAGCAACAAAGGAAACACACUGACCAGUCGGAUUCACAUGCAGAUUCAAAUAGAACUCUCGGACUAACGAUGGAUAACAUACCUUGGGUAAAUCGACAAGAAACGAUUCAAACCCUAACUUAGAGAACAAAGAAACAACACCACAAGCGAUGAAAGCCUUACCAGACAAGGGCUUUCCCAGAAUGAUUUUGCGAGUGCUAAUGUCCUUGCCCUCAGCCUUAUCCUCAGUCUUAACUCGCUUAGAUUCCUUUCCAGCACGCUGAACCCCAGACAACUCAGAUUCACUACCGGAAUCGAUUGUAGCAACAACCACAGUCUUAUCCUCUUCAUCAAUCAAUUGACGCUUGGUUGGACCAGAUGAUGAACCAGCACCCUUCACAGCAGCUCGUGUCUUGCGCCUCAUCGUGAAUCGAAGGAGAAGCGUUGAACCAGUGAGUAAGGUGUAUCGGUUGAGUAGCAGUGAGUAAACCCUAGGAGACGAUUGGGGCUUUUUAAAGAGGAAGUUGAACAGACUUGGUGAUAAGAUAAGUUUGAGCCCUUUUUGAAUGAAUAUCAGGGGAGCUGUUUUCGGAAUAAAACUAGUUGAAUUAAAAUUUAAACUAAUUUUACCAAAUCCUGUCAUGAGAUAUCGAAAACCAACCGUAAUUAUCUUCAUAACAACUCCUAUCACAUUUCCAUUUAAAUAGGCCAUACAGAAAUUUGAAUUUUAAACAAUCCAUAAAUAUGCAUAGAUUAUCACAUAAUCACGUAACAAAUUCUCACAUAAAAUUCUAUCUGAAUCAGCACAUAACGGUUAGUUUAUUAAUUAAACUAAAAUGCAAAUAAUCACUUGAAAUGACCUGCAUGCAAAAAUAAUUAAAAUUAUGUAAAGUACUAAGAGUAAGCUGAUAGUACCCGGACCAAGCUUAUUAGCUUGCUGACUGCACAUCACACAUACCCAAUUCCCUUCUCAGCACAACAUAUCGUUCUUCAGGAAGAGGUUUUGUGAAGAUGUCAGCUAGCUGAUCUGCUGUAGCCACAAAAAUCAGCUUGACAGCACCUUUUGCAACAUUGUCUCUCAGAAAAUGAUGUCGAACAUCAAUAUGCUUUGUCCUUGAAUGAUUGACUGGAUUUUCUGAAAUGUUGAUUGUACUUGUGUUGUCACAAAAGAUAGGAGUUUGCUUGCAUUUGAUUCCAAAGUCCUUCAAUUGUUGUCUCAUCCAUAGCAUUUGAGAGCAACAGCUACCAGCUGCUAAAUACUCCCCCUCAGCCGUAGAUAGAGCAACUGAAGUUUGCUUCUUGCUUAACCAAGAAACUAAGCUUUGACCCAAAAAUGCACAAACACCACUUGUACUUUUUCUAUCAGUUUGACUACCUGCAUAAUCUGCAUCACUAUACCCAACAAGAUCAAAAGCAUUUGUGAUAGGAUAGAAUAAGCCCAAAGUAAUGGUUCCACUUAAAUAUUUAAAUAUUCUUUUAACAGCUUGUAAGUGAGAAUCCUUUGGUUUUGCUUGAAAUCUAGCACAAACACAAACACUAUACAUAAUAUCAGGUCUAGAGGCUGUAAGAUAAAGUAAACUACCAAUCAUACCUCUAUACAUUCGAAUAUCAACAUCUUUACCAUUUUCAUCUGCUGUCAGCUUGCUGACAACGCUCAUUGGUGUUGAUUUCGCCUUGAUAUUCUCAUAUCCAAAUCUUUUGAGUAGAUUCUUGAUAUACUUGGAUUGAUGCACAUAAAUUCCUUCUGGAGUUUGCUUAAUUUGGAGCCCCAAGAAAUAAUUGAGCUCUCCCAUCAUGCUCAUGUCAAACUCACUAUGCAUGCACUUUGAAAACCACUUACACAAAGAAUCAUUAGUAGAUCCAAAUAUAAUAUCAUCUACAUAUAUUUGAACAACUAAUAUAUCUUGACCUUUAAAGAUAGUAAACAAAGUUGGAUCAAUUUUACCUCUAAUAAAACCAUUUUUGAUCAAAAAUUCACUUAACCUUUCAUACCAUGACCGAGGUGCUUGCCUUAAUCCAUAAAGUGCCUUCUUGAGCUUGUAGACACGGUUGGGAUAUUUUUCAUCCUCGAAUCCUGGUGGUUGCUUGACAUAGACUUUAUCCUUGAGAUAUCCAUUUAAGAAUGCACUUUUGACGUCCAUCUGAUGUAGCUUGAACUUCUUGUAGCAUGCAAAUGAUAAGAGCAUCCUAAUAGAUUCCAAGCUUGCAACCGGAGCAUAUGUUUGAUCAAAAUCAAUUCCUUCUUGCUGAUUGUAUCCUUGUGCAACAAGUCUAGCUUUGUUCCGAGUGAUAGUACCAAAUUCAUCAACUUUAUUCUUGAGCACCCAUUUGGUUCCAACGAUUGAAGCAUCCUCUGGUGGAUCAACAAGUUCCCAAACAUCACAUCUUUCAAAUUGGUUGAGUUCUUCUUGCAUUGCCAUGAUCCAAUUUUCAUCUUGUAAAGCUUCUUGAACAUUCUUUGGUUCCUCUUGAGCUAUGAAGGCGGCAUAAGCACAAAUGUUGGCUUGAGCUUUCCUUGUCUUGAUUCCAGCUGAUUUAUCUCCAAUGAUUAACUGAGGAGGAUGAUUCUUCACUGUUCUAGUUGACUUUGGUAGAUUAUGUUGAGCUAUGACCUCUUCAUUCCUUGUAGUCUGCCUAGGAGGAGUCUGAUCAACAACAUUUUGGUUUGCUGAUGAAGUUUGACCUCUGGAUUCAUCCAAUGUGAGCUUUGACAUCUUAUCCAAAGUUUCUUCAAGAGAUGGAGUGGAUUCAGUAGCUUUAUUGCCUUCUGAAGUUGUGGCAGUUGACUUGUCAGCCUGCUGAUUCCCAGUUUCCUUCACUGUCAGCUUGCUGCUAGUACCUGUACCUGCACAUUCUUCCUCAUCCCUUGCAAGAUCAUCAGUAGACUCUUGAAAUGAAACAUCAAUAGACUCUUCAACAGUAUGUUUAGCAAGAUUAUACACUCUAUAAGCACGACUUGUUAAAGAAUAACCCAAAAAUAUAGCUUCAUAAGAUUUAGAGUCGAAUUUACCAUCCCUAUCAAUGGUUUUGAGUACGAAGCACUUAGAUCCAAAAACCUUGAAGUAGCUGAUGUUAGGCUUCUUUUUCCUUAGCAAUUCAUAAGGAGUCUUGUUGAGAAUUGGCCUGAUAAGCACUCUGUUAAGAACAUAGCUUGCUGUGUUGACAGCUUCUGCCCAAAAGCUUCUUGGCAGCUUGCUCUCCUGCAGCAAUGUCCUAGCUGUUUCUUGUAAGGACCUGUUCUUACGCUCUACAACUCCAUUUUGCUGAGGUGUACGAGGUGCUGAGAACUCAUGUGAGAUUCCUCUUUCUUCACAAUAAGUAAUGAAGUCUUUUUGGAAUUCCCCACCAUGAUCACUUCGAAUACCUACAAGUCUUGUAUCUAGUUUGUUCUCAAGCAACUUGAUUAGUUUCUCAAAUUCACUAAAAGCACAAUCUUUAGUACGCAAGAAUAAUACCCAAGUGAAUCUAGAAUAAUCAUCAACAAUAACAAAGGCAUAUUGUUUACCUCCAAUACUCUUAUAAGCUUCGGGACCAAAAAGAUCCAAGUGAAGAAGCUCUAAAGGUUUAGAAGUAGAUACCAUUUUCUUUGCCUUAUGUGGAGUCCUUGUUUGCUUUCCCAAUUGACAAGCAGAACAUGUCUCCAUCUUGACAUACUUAAGCUUUGGUAGUCCUCGAACAAGCUUCUUUGCUGACAGCUUGCUGAGAUGAUCCAUAUGAGCAUGUCCAAGCCUUCUAUGCCAAAUUUCUGGAUUAUUAUCCACAGCUGCUAAACAAACACCUGCCUCCUGUUCUUCAAAGUUCAAAACAUAUAUAUUUCCUUCUCGUUUUGCAACUAGAGGAGUUUUGUUAGCACCAACAAGUAUAGUACAUUCAUCCUUACCAAAGUUAACAAUAUGACCAUCAUCAAAUAACUGACUUAUACUAAGCAAGUUAUAAGUAAGACCUUUAACAUAUUGUACCUUGUUAAUAGAAAUGAUACUAUUACCUAUAGUUCCUUUGCCAAGAAUAGGAAGAGUUUUGCUAUCACCAAUUGUGACACGUCCACCCUUCUUCAUCUUCAAGCUUAGAAACUGAGAUUUGUCUCCACUCAUGUGCCUAGUGCAUCCACUAUCCAAUAUCCAUUGAUUUGGCUUUACUUUAGACACGAGACAAACCUACAAAACAAACACAAACAACUCAACGUUUUGGUACCCAAAUUUUGUUGGGUCCAGCAGUGUUAGUUGAUAAAACAUAUAGAACAUUAAGAUCAGAUUUCUUGAUCCACAUUUGGACCACUUUAGAACUCUUCUUCCAUGUUCUGCUGGUCUUAUCAGCAUACUGUCUUGGAGCUGUCUUCUGUCUGUUUCUGUUGUCAGCAUACUGCCUGUGAGCUGACUUCCUUUUCCAGCUUGCUGAUUGAGUAUUCUUCAUUGGACAAUUAUUAGCAAGAUGGCCCUUCUUUCCACACUUGUGACAAGUCACCCAAGGCAUGGCAUAAUUGUAUGGAAUGCCAUUUUUCCCUUCAUAUCUCAUUGAAGAUGUGGAUGUAGAAGCUGCACCAAUGCCUCCUUUGUCAUGAGAACCUUUAGCUUGUUUCAUCAUAGAUUUGAGACUUUCUUCUCCUUGAACAAACUUUCCCAUGGCUUUCUGAAGAUCUUUGACUUCUUGCUCCAAUGAUUUGAUCUUUUCAGCUUGAAUAGAGAUUUCGGCUAAGCUUUGGGAUUUGCUUAACUCGAACGCCUCCAAGCUUGUAUCCUUAGCUUUAAGAUCUGCUCUCAGCGAGCUGAGUUCCUUCAUGAGUGUAUCAUUCCUUCUUUGGAUUUGCAUGUUGUUCCCUUCAAGUUGUGAGAUCUGUUCCUUGAGGGUAGCAAUGAUUCCACUACUAGCUUUGGCACUCUUUUCAUUCAAGAAAUCACCUAUGACUUUCUUCAAAUGAACAUUUUCUUUCUCGAGCUCAUAAUUCUCAUUCUUCAGAUCAAUGAGUUCCAUUAUUGAUAAACAACUCUUAUCCUGCAUGGUUAGUUCACAAGUAGUUGUAUCAAUAGUAUGUAAUUCAGAAUUAAUAGAGUUUACCUCACUGUUAGUGUCCGUAUCUGAAUCCGUUGUAUCAAUUGAGCCAUCGAGACCAACAAGAGCCAAAUUCACCAUCUCAUCACUAGAAUCAUCAGAAGCUGACUCAUCUUCAUCAUCACUCCAAGUUAGAAGUGCCUUGGAUUUCUUUUUAUUCUUGUAAUCAGCUUGCUGUCUAGGCGGCUUUGACUUGUUUUUCAGCUUGUAGCAAUCCCUUUUGAAAUGCCCUUUCUUGCCACAUUCAAAACAUGCAUCAUCCUUUGGAUCUUUCUUUGCACCAAAAGCUUUGCCCUUUUCUCGCUUCAUUUUGUUUUUCUUUUCAAUCAUCCUUUUGAUUUUUCUGGACAUAAGAGCUAGAUCCUCAUCUGAUUCUGUUUCCUCAUCUGUUUCCAGCUUGCUGACAGAGGAGUGCAGUGCAAGGUUCUUCAUUUUCUCUGUUGGCAGCUUGCUGCUUUCUGAGCUGUUAGCUUCAAUCUUAGCUUCAAAUUGUUCCAACUCAGCAAAUAUAGCCAGGUGAUCCAUAGUAUCAAUGUUGAGAGCUGACUCCAAUGCUGUGACCUUGGCACCAUAUUCGAAUGGAACAGCAUUUAGAAUAUUCAUGUUGAUUUCCGAUUGAGGAAUCUUUUUGCCAAGUCUUUCAAGACUGUUGAGAGUGACUUGGAAUCUAGCUUGGCUUUCUCGAAUGGAUUCUCCCUUCUUGAUAGCAAAGCUUCCAAAUUCUUUCAUAAGCUUCCCGAGCUUGACUUUCUUUAAUGCCUUUGAGCCUUCGUGAUAUGUCUCCAAUGCAUCCCAAAUUUCUUUUGCAGAUUUGAGAGAAGAGACCUUGUCAUAUUCAGCUUGAUUCAGCCCAUUGAUUAAUGUACUCCUUGCUUUUCCAUUGGCAGCAACCUUUGAUAGCUCGUACCGCUGUGAGAACAUCAACGUCCUUGACUUUGCCAUCGCUAUCACGAUUAUUCAUAAGGACCUCUUUGCACAACUCUUUGCAUUAGGGGAUCUCUGGAUAGAUGAGCCUCCAUUUGGCCUUUCCACCAAUUGUAGUUGUCAGAACCCGUGAGGAGAGGAGCUCUAAAAUCGGACUUUCCCUGAAAGUUAUCAGCCAUAUCGAUCGAUACUAUUCCUGUUACAGAAGUAUUAGUACAAACCUGGCUCUGAUACCAAUUGAAAUUACACACCUAGAGGGGGGUGAAUAGGUGUUAUGGCUAAUAUACCCGAUUUUAUAAGUUACCGAAUAAUUAAUCUGUCAAAGACAGCCUGCUGUUAAUUUUCAGAGUAAACAGUUAGCCUGCUAAUAAGAUAAAUGCAAUGCAGAUAAUGUAAAGCAGUAUGCUAGCAACACCAAGAAUUUUAGCCAGGUUCGACCCCUAACCCUAAUGGUCUACGUCCUGGUCCCCUGCCAACUGGUAAGAGAUUAUAUUAUUAAUCAAUAAUGUUAACGAUUACAAUGAUUCAAUAAUAUAACUCCCUUUAACCCUUGUUCCUGUUAUCAGCUUGCUGAAACCCCUGAACCACGAACCAAAAGCUCUCCAAGACCUAUACUUCCCAAGUAUACUCUUCUAGCUAACUAGUCCCCUUGUUCCCUUGUUUCACAAGCUCGAUACACAGCAACAAACCUUUACACUUUGAACAAUACAAUGUAUGAGUAUAAUACAACCGAAACUAUGAACUCAAUAUAGAUAUAUAAUCAAAUAUAAGUACUAGAGCUCAAGUAAAGAUUUAGCAAUGAAAGUGUGUUGUAUUUCAGAAGCUUGAAGUGUGUUCUUGUUCUCUACCAAAACGGAAACCACACUCAAGUUUAUAUACACAAAGAUCCAACGGUCAAUUUGCUAACAAAUUCCAACGUUCUUGUUCCAACCGAACUCACGUAUAAUUUGUUCUCAAUUUGAACGCUUAAACUUGUGAAGAUUACUGAGUAAAAAGCGUAGAAGCGUUGUAAACCAACUCAGUAAAACGUUUAUGUAUAAAACCAUAAUUUGAAAUCAAAUAGGAGUAGUUUUAGAUAAGAUCGAAAUAGAGAUAAACACUCCUACAAGUUAGGAAAUCGUUUUUGUUUGAAAUACUGAUUUAAAACUGAGCUCUAAUAUUUAUAUAAGUCAUAUAUAAAUAUUAAAGUCCUUACAAAUCGUUUCCUAAUAAAUCUCCUUGCUUUUCGACUUUAAUCCUUAUCCAUUUGUUAUUCUGUUCACGCUGUGAGCUUGCUGAUAAGCCUGAAUGACAACCUGUAAGCUUGCUGACAGUUGAACAUAACACUGAAACUUAUCAAGCUGUUAGCACAUGCAUAUAUCAUUGAUAGCUCGCUAACAAGCACCAGUUUUAUGCUAUUAGCUUGCUGGCAAUGUGAUCAUCAAAACCUUGAGAGUAUCAAUUCUGUCUUUUGAUUAUCCCUCCUUCAGUAGGGCAAAGGACAUCUCCAUUUCAUUUGGCCAUAUCUUGGGAUCUACGGGAUCUGUGACCCCUUAAACAGGACGGCUUGGAAUGCCUUAAAAGUUACCUUAUGUAUUUAUGUCUUCUGUCGUUGUUGUUUUACUCGUUCUUGCUCUUGUUGGUUAUGUUGCUGUUGAAACUGCUGCGGCUAAGCAAACAUAGCAGUUGUUAGCAUCUGAGUAAUUAAUGGUUGGAUCAACUGGUCCAUGGGGAUUAGAUGUAGUCUCAUUAGACUCUGACAUGGUGGUCUCUUUGGAAGACAUAUUCUCAUAAGAAACAAACAAUUAUUUAGACAUGGUUGAGAAGAAAACAGUAUUAUAAUAAUUAAUUCUAAAUUAUUAAUUUAUAAAAUUAAUCUAUUAAACAUGAAAACACUAAAUUUGGGAAAAAAUAUUAAUUUUUAUAUCAUCUUUUUAGAAUAAUUUAUUCUUAUAAAAGUAGUAAAUCUGAAACUAAUUAAUUAUGAACAAAAUAAUAAUACUAAAAUUGAAUAAUCUUUUCAAAUAUAAAAUUUAUUAAAUAAUUAUAUUUUUAAAUAAUUUAAAAACUGGAAAUCCAAAACUAGUAAAACUAGACUCAAAAGUCUCUGCAGGAUUAUGAGCAAGUUAGUUUAGUAAAACUACACUAAGCAAAACUACAAUCUGUGUCCAAUAAAUUAUUAAUUAAUCAUUUGCCUUUAUAUUUGUAAUUAGAAAAUGUGUAUAGUCACUUAUUGGAGAGAUACGGCCUAAAAUUUGACAUAACCAUACAGUAAUGGAUUUUGUAGUUCUACACUUGGUUGUUAAUUGGCAAUCAUUGUAAAUAUUAAAAGCUGGACUUGAGAAGAUAAUAUCAGUUAUGUAGUUGGUUAUAAACCCUCUUCAUUUGCAGAUAGAGGAGAUCACCUCAUAAAACAACAAUGGCUUUAUGACUUCCAUCUAGUUACAUCACUUGUUAGGUGUAGAUACAGUUUAAAAUGCAGGGUUCUUCCAUCUAGUUACAUCACUUGUUAGGUGUAGAUACAGUUUAAAAUGCAGGGUUCUCUCCUUCCUACUUUCUCUAGUUAUUGGCUUCUUUUAAAAAAAAAUAAUUAUAUAUUCCACAAUUAUGUAAAAGUAUUCAAACAAGAUCUCUGAUAAAAGUGCAAUUUUGGGAUUACCGGUCCAAAGGCUGGUAAAUUGACUGAGUUGCAGGGCAAUUUUGGUGAAAACGUGAAGUUGAUGAGCAGAAGAGUCAUCGAUGAUCCUGGCCUACCACAUGGCAACCUGCUAAGUGGUUCGAGCUCUUUUUUUUCCUACCAAUUCCAUCUAAAAUGGUGUUUAAUUUCUUCAGCAGUAACAGAUCACGAACGGAGGUAUGUAUAUUUGUACUAUGAUUGUUUCAGAGUUUUUUGUAUGUCAUUAAUGGUGCACGAGUCUCAAAUCUCAAUGUCAAAGAUUAUUUACAAAAUUAUAAGACAUUUAGUCUGAAUCCAUAUAUUUGAUGAUCAACAUUGGGACUUGUUUGCAAAGGGGAAUGCAUGUGAUCCGAUACACGACACUCCUCUUCACCGAGAACCUAGAAGUGGGGUAACCGUAUUUAAAAUUUUGGUAAGUACAAGUAUAGAAGAAUCUUUGUUAUUUGUUAUUAUCAAACUAUGACUAAAUUUUGAAAAAUUGCACAAUCGGCAGAAGCUACUAGUGCAGGAAAGUUGGAGUGAUCCAGUAGCAUCACAUAUGGUGUUUGGCCUUGUCGAAAAUGAGGCAAUGAAUUGGAUAAUAACCAGGGGAGACCUAGGUUAUAUACCUGUUAUUCAUUGAGGUUUCACAGUAUUUCCGUUGGACGUGUAUCGGGCUCCGGUGAAACUCUUGGCAUACUUAAUAAAGACAAAUGCCAAAAAAUAAAGUUGACAUUGGGUGCAGUUGCCACACCAACAUCUUAAUCUUAAGGGUGCAGUAUUAAGAGGGUAAAUUCAAGUAGGAUUUCAUAGAUUAUUUUUAAUCUAUGAAUUUUAAGAAAUUGUAUCUGAUUUGAGUUUGUAUGGUUUUUUGAUAAAAUAUGGCAGAUUCUUUAGGAUUUAAGUACAACGAUUUCAAAAAUCUUAAAAUAUAUUGUAUAAUUUCAUCAACAGAUUUUGAUGGAUUUAAAACAAUCUCAACUAAAUAUCAUAAAUUUUUAAGGAAAAUUUAAAAUCCUUAAUGAAUACCGGUAGAUUUUGUAGCAUAAUAUAGAAUCCCAAUUAAAUACGUCCAAUAUUCUUUUACAUUUAGUGGCAAAAAAAAUAAAUUACUCUCGUACAUUUAAAAUCUUAAUUGAAUAUGCGGUCUAAAAUUAAUUAAAAAAAUUUCUAUUUUGGAGAAAAGUUGUCAAUAUAUAAAGUGGUCCAUAAUAGGACCUCGUCAAAAUUUAUGAUCCGACUCAAAUGAAAUAAACUGAAUAUAUAUUAAGCAAAAAAUAACAAAUCACUUAAUCUAAAAUUGAAAACUGGUGAAAAAAUGUCUCAAUAGAAAAAACAACUUUCUUUCAUCUUAAUACACCCCCUUAAUCUUUUAUUCUUUUUCCUAAACAUUAUCUUUAAAAUUAUUUCAAAAAUGCUUCCCAAAUCUUUAAUUUCCUUCUAUAAAUCUUACUUUUAGAAUUAAAUAGGGUUAUUCAAUUGAGAUUAAGAAAAAAUCAUUCAUAAUCUUGGUAUAUUUAACUCGAAUUUUUAAAAUUGCAUCUAAAUCUUGGGGGUAGUCUAUUGGGAUCUUAUUAUAUCCAAUAAAAUCUAGUUAUAUUCUAUUAUAAUUUUAAUUAUACUUAGAAAACAUGAAAUUUAUGAGAUUGUUCGGGCUAUUUUAUAGUGUUUGAAAUUCCAUCAUAAUUUUUGAGAUUUUGAGUAUUAAAAAAUCUGCAUAAAAUCAAAAUCAGAUAUAAUCCAUUAAAAUCUAUGGAUUAUUACCAAUCCAUUAAAAUCCGAGUUAAAUAAUCUUAAUCCUUUCCUUUUUCUAAAUAUUAUCAUAAAUUUAUUUGAAAGAAUUUUCAUAAAUCUAUGAUUACCUUUUUAAAUCUUACUUCUAAAUUAAUCAUAAUCCUUUAUACCAUUCUAUAUCUCUAUACCACAAAUAUAAAUCUUUUAAAAUAAAUCUUCAUGUUUUGCACCAAAAAGUAGAAAUUCAGAAGUCCAACUCUUUUUGUCUAGAGGGGCUUUCCAAACUUGGGAUAUGAAUUCAAACGUAGGCAUUUUAUUAUGUAGAGAUGAAGCCAAGUGCUUAGCUUGUGAAACUAACAUCCCACUUUUCGGAAUAUUAAAAUUAAAUUCAAAACUCAAAAACAAUAUAAUUUAUCAAUCUAAAAUUUUAUUAUAGAAGGUAUUAUAACCAUUUUGUAAGGUAUUUUUGACCAUUGUAAAUAUGUUGUAGUUACAUUAUUUAUUACUUGAAAAUGUUUCAUUUUCUCUUUGUUAUUUUAAAAAAAAUUAUGAUUAUAUAAUUAUAUAUAACUUAAUGAUAUAUAUAUAUAUAUAUAUAUCUGUGCGUGUGAGAGAGAUAUAGAGAGAGAGAAUAAUUCUAAUAUAAGUUUUAGUUGAAUUUAAUUAGUAAUAGACUUUUUUUUAUGUAAUGAACAUUAUGUAUUAUUAAUUAUUGAUUAACUUGUUAUCAUAUUUUAUAAGAACUUAAUUUUCAAAUUAAAUUUUCCAUAAAUCGAAUAUAUUAAAAUUUAAAUGAUAAAAUUUCUACAAUAUAAUUUAUUUGUAUCUUCAAAAAUAGUAACAUAUUAUUACUAACCACUACGAACUUUAACCUAUAAGGUUAUUUUAAUUUUUUUUAAAAAAAUUAUUAAUAAUAAACAUAUAGUUUAUUUUCUAUUAAUCAAAAUUAAUUUAUGAGUGUUUGGAUAGUUUGACACUUAUAUAAAAUAGAUGGUUUAUAAAGCAAAAAAUUUGCCAAUAGUUUGCAUUGACACUUAAUUAAUCUAAUUGGACAUUAUUAGGGUUUUUAUUAUAAAAUAAUAUAACUAAGUACAAACUUUUUUGUGACUAGGCCCAGCCCACCUUGGGAGGUACUUAUAAUUACCUAGGACAGGAAAACCCCGCCCCUCCACAUCCCUUCUCAUCAUCUUAUGGGUUCCAUCUGACCCUAAUCCUUCUCCAGAUCUCUUCACAGAAGCCCCUCCAGAUCUCUUCUCCUCCCAUGGGUUCCAUCUCACUGUGCUGCUCCUUGUUAUACAGGUAUACGUAUAUACUCCUUACAAUUUUAAAUGUACAACAUGAACACAUAUUAUAUAUAUGGUCCUCAUGCUUUGUAAAUAUGUCUGUUAGUUGUUCUUCAUUUUAGUAGCUAGAUAUAUCACAUCUGGCGUAUCUCUUACUUAAUAAUUGUAUAUUUACCCUAUACAUAUGUGAUGAUUUUGUUGUGAUCUAGAUCUACUCCUGAUAUAUUUAUAUAAGAACUUGAUUUUUCUGAAUUUUAGUUUUAAUAUAUUAUAUUUAUAAAUUUAUGAAUUUAUUAUAAAUAUGUGUUUGAUUCUUAUUAAUAUGAAAAAAAAAUGGUAAAAGAAUAUGAAUAGUGCUUCUUUGCAUCAUUAUACAAUAUCCAAAACUGUAAUAGUGGUAUAAACUUCUUAUUUUUAUGUCCAUUAUGCAAGCAAAAUAGAUAGCAUAAGUAAAUAAGGAGUCUAUGAAUGUGUUAUAUAGGUUAUUUAUUAAUUUUUCACUUAUUUUUAUUGUGUUUAAACUUUGUACCAUUACAUUUGAAUAUUACACCUUAAACAUUUUAAUAUACACGUGGCUCAUUGCUUGUUUGCAGCAACUAUCCUCAUAUUGGUGAUGAUAAACAAUGAAGAAAAUGCUCCAAUUUUCUCUAAAUUUAUAUUCUCCAGGUAGUAUAACAUAAACUUUUAGUUAUAACAUUAUAACAUAAAUAUAUUUUUUCAUUCCUUAAUAGUAUACAUACUUUGUUGUGUAGAUUUAUGAAGAUAUUAUAUAUAGGUACAUGGUAUGGCAUUUGUCUAGAUAUGGUGACCGUGGUUACAAUUUCAUACUUUGUUUGGGUCACCUUUGUUAAAUAUGACGCCCUCCAUAUCCGGGUAAAAUAUUUGGUGGUCACCAACCUUAUAUCACAAUAACAAUAUGAUAAAUCAUAUUAAUAGAUAAUGACCCUUGGUACCUUCCUAACGUAGCCUGGCCUUCAACGGCCUGUGGAUUUCUCUUUUUCCCAUCUCUCUCUUUCUUCACUUCUAUGAUCAUCACUUUUUUGAACUAAUGCAACAUGGUUAUCUAACUCUAAAAUAGCUCGCUUUCCCUUAAUCCAUGCCUUUAACCCAUGUUAAAACGUCUUUGCCUUUUUGUCUUUGAGUACUCACAUUCGCUGGCACAAGCCUUGCUAUUUCUAUUUUUUUUUUAAAAUGAUCAUCCUGUCAAACACAAUACUAAUAAUAAAAUUAGUUCGAACCGCCAUCCCAUCAAAGACAAUAUUAAUCCAUAUUUUUAUUUUUAUGAUAAAAUUAAAUAUUACAGUAUAAUUUAGAUCAAAAUUAGUUUGAACCGCUUUCUUGUCAAACACGAUACUAAUAAAAAUUAUUCUAAUUAUGAUAAAAUUAAAGAUUAUAAUUUGAUAAAAAUUAUUUUGAACCGUGGUCCCGUUUUAACAAAUAAUAUAUUAUAACAUAUAUAAAAAAUUAUUUUAGCCACUUUCCCGUCAAACAUAAUACUAAUAGAAAAAUUAUUAUUAUUUAGAUAAAAAUUAGUUUGGGCCACCUCCCGUGCCCGUCAAACACAAUAAUAAUCAAGAAUCAUUUACAUUAUCAUAAAAUCAAUAUAUGAUUCCUAUUUUAUAUAUCCUAAAUUAUUUUAUUAAUUUUUUUUAUUUUAUGAUUCCUAUUUAUUAGUUAAAAAUUAUAAUUCUUUUAUGGUUCUAGUUUUUUUGCUAUUAGUUUUUUAAUGAUUAUUAUCUUUAAAAUUCUUUAUUUUCUAUUCAAAAUUUAAGAAAAUUAUAAAACUAAAUCGAAAAUAAAAAUUGUACGUAUUACCUUACAAAUCUUAAAUAUAAAUUAUAUUUUAUCUAUGAUUGUUAGUUUAAAUAAAUAUAAAAAUUAUUCUAAUUAUGAUAAAAUUAAAGAUUAUGAUUGGACAAAAAUUAUUUUGAACCGUGGUCCCGUUUUAAUAAGAAAAUAUAUUAUAACAUAGAUAAAAAAUUAUUUUAGCCAUUUUCCCGUGAAACAUAAUUCUAAUAGAAAAAUUAUUAUUAUUUAGAUAAAAAUUAGUUUGGGCCGCCUCGCGUGGCCGUCAAACACAAUACCUAAUAAUAAAAAUUCUAAAUUAAUAUAUUAAUUUAGAAUAUUAAUAUAUUCUAAAUAAAAAUAUAAAUAUUAAUAAUAUAUUCUAACGGUUUUUCUAUGGUGUGCCCAUGGGCACACAAUAAGCGCUAACAUCUAUGAGUUUGGUACAUUCUUAUUGGUCAUGUAAUCAUAAAUAUGGAUGGCCCCCCUGCAUUUACAUCAAUCCAACCAAUCAAAAUCCACCAAAUUCAUCAAAUUUUGUUAGAAAGACCCAUAUUCUAAAUCAUGUGCAGGUUUGACCACAUAGCAAAUAUUAAUAUUUUUGUAAUUUUUUUUUUCCGAUUAAAAAUAUUAUAUUUAUAUUUUUAUUCAGAAAAAGAAAA